rnacentral:rRNA from 1 species
GAUUAACGCUAGCGGCAGGCCUAAUACAUGCAAGUCGUACGGUAACCUCGGUAGCAAUACUGAGAACGAGUGGCGCACGGGUGCGUAACACGUAUGCAAUCUACCUUUGACUGGGGAAUAGCUCACCGAAAGGUGAAUUAAUACCGCAUAAUGCUUUGAAAGGACAUCCUUUUAAAGCCAAACCUCCGGGGGUCAAAGAUGAGCAUGCGUCCGAUUAGCUAGUUGGCGGAGUAACAGCCCACCAAGGCAACGAUCGGUAGGGGAUCUGAGAGGAUGAUCCCCCACACUGGUACUGAGACACGGGCCAGACUCCUACGGGAGGGCAGCAGUAAGGAAUAUUGGACAAUGGCCGAAAGGCUGAUCCAGCCAUGCCGCGUGAAGGAUGAAGGCCCUAUGGGUUGUAAACUUCUUUU